rnacentral:rRNA from 1 species
UUAAGUGACGAUAGCCUAGGAGAUACACCUGUUCCCAUGCCGAACACAGAAGUUAAGCACUAGUACGCCUGAUGUAGUUGGGGGUUGCCCCCUGUUAGAUACGGUAGUCGCUUAGC